rnacentral:rRNA from 1 species
CGGGUGCGGAACACGUGUGCACUGCUUUAUCUGGGGGAUAGCCUUUCGAAAGGAAGAUUAAUACCCCAUAAUAUGUUGAAUGGCAUCAUUCGACAUUGAAAACUCCGGUGGAUAGAGAUGGGCACGCGCAAGAUUAGAUAGUUGGUGAGGUAACGGCUCACCAAGUCUACGAUCUUUAGGGGGCCUGAGAGGGUGAUCCCCCACACUGGUACUGAGACACGGACCAGACUCCUACGGGAGGCAGCAGUGAGGAAUAUUGGACAAUGGGUGAGAGCCUGAUCCAGCCAUCCCGCGUGAAGGACGACUGCCCUAUGGGUUGUAAACUUCUUUUGUAUAGGGAUAAACCUACCCUCGUGAGGGUAGCUGAAGGUACUAUACGAAUAAGCACCGGCUAACUCCGUGCCAGCAGCCGCGGUAAUACGGAGGGUGCAAGCGUUAUCCGGAUUAAUGGGUUNAAAGGGUCCGUAGGCGGAUCUGUAAGUCAGGGGUGAAAUCUCACAGCUUAACUGUGGAAACUGCCAAUUGAAUACUGGCAGGGUCCUGGACGUUGGUCGCCGGAAGGUUACCCUCGGGAAUUCAACAGUCAGUGUACCCCCGGGG